AUAUGGGUAUUAAACGGUGAACACCGAAGAAGACAAAAAAAGGACGGAAAAAAAAAAUAUACAAUAUAAGUACUUAGACAAAAUUAACACGAACUUCAUUUUCUAUGGCGAAUAUAAUAUUUAGACGCUAUCAUAUUGUUAUGAAUAAACCUCUGUAAUAUUUAAGCCUAUAAUAAGGCGAUGAUGACUUCCAAACAAGUAGUAACUUACCGAUCCUAUUACAAGUAACGCUAUACGCGAUUAUCGAUACCUAUAAUAUACAUUAUAAUAUAGUUACCGCCUUACCGGGUUACAAAGUAGUCGAGUUGAAAAUACGCAAUGCGAUAAUAUUAUUUCUAUAUGAUGGAAGUACAAUAUAGUAUGGUAUAGUAUGCGACAUAGUAGGUUAAAAUCAUUAAAAAACUAUAUCUUUACACGCCGCGGAAAUGAAACUCAUCUAACUCUAUAUACUGUAGUAAUACAAAAAAUAAAAAAAAUCAUAGAUAUUAUAAACGUGAAAAUGGUUAGGGGUCUAUGUAGUAACCCAAAAUAGGUAUAGGUCUGUAUUAGUUAUAAAAUCCUCUCUUUAAUUGCGGUAACACAAUUAUUUUAAUUCGUACUGAAAUAUAUCUAAUGAAAAGUAAUAAAUGGGACAUGGAUCCUUCUCGAACAACGAAAAAUCCGUUAUUAUUUAUAAGCUCAAAAGGGCCCUGGUGGCCUUCGCGUCGGUGUCGAUAGAAGGUAACUAAUAAUACAAUUAUAUUUAUUGAGGUGUUGUAUAGGAAUUAUAAGAAUAUUCAUAGCAUGACUGUGGCGACGGUGCGACAGUGUCCUCGGAGGGCUGAAUCGGAUGUCAUAAA